GACGAACGCUGGCGGCGUGCCUAAUACAUGCAAGUCGAGCGCAGGAAACUGACGGAACUCUUCGGAGGGAAGGCAGUGGAAUGAGCGGCGGACGGGUGAGUAACACGUAAGGAACCCGCCUCAAGGAUUGGGAUAACUCCGAGAAAUCGGAGCUAAUACCGGAUAGUUCAACGGACCGCAUGGUCCGCUGAUGAAAGGCGCUCCGGCGUCACCUUGAGAUGGCCUUGCGGUGCAUUAGCUAGUUGGUGGGGUAACGGCCCACCAAGGCGACGAUGCAUAGCCGACCUGAGAGGGUGAUCGGCCACACUGGGACUGAGACACGGCCCAGACUCCUACGGGAGGCAGCAGUAGGGAAUCUUCCACAAUGGACGAAAGUCUGAUGGAGCAACGCCGCGUGAGUGAUGAAGGUUUUCGGAUCGUAAAACUCUGUUGUAAGGGAAGAACACGUACGAGAGGAAAUGCUCGUACCUUGACGGUACUUUACGAGAAAGCCACGGCUAACUACGUGCCAGCCGCCGCCGUAA
rnacentral:rRNA from 1 species